GGCCGAGCCCCUUUAUCGGCACCGCCCUUUACUGUUCUGUGACCCGGCCGCCGUCCACCGCUGCUUCCCCGUCGUCCACCGCUGCACCAACGACGAUCAGCCUUGCCGCGAUCCUUUCCGACGACGAAGUAACGAUAAGGUCCCGGCCUUGUCGAUUCCUCCUUGCCGGAUUGCCGAGCUAGACGAGAUUCGGGUCAGGACCUUUCUUUAGGUGGUGGUUGCACCGGGAUGAAGUCGAGCGGUGAGAACUUGGUCUUCGAGGUCGGUGGCGUCAUCGCCAAGUAUCCCUCCAAGAAUUUCAACGAGG
rnacentral:lncRNA from 1 species